rnacentral:rRNA from 1 species
CACGGUAAACGAUGGAUGCCCGCUGUUUGCGAUAUACUGUGAGCGGCCAAGAGAAAUCGUUAAGCAUCCCACCUGGGGAGUACGCCGGCAACGGUGAAACUCAAAGGAAUUGACGGGGGCCCGCACAAGCGGAGGAACAUGUGGUUUAAUUCGAUGAUACGCGAGGAACCUUACCCGGGCUUGAAUUGCAGAUGACGGAUCUAGAGAUAGAGACUUCCUUCGGGACAUCUGUGAAGGUGCUGCAUGGUUGUCGUCAGCUCGUGCCGUGAGGUGUCGGCUUAAGUGCCAUAACGAGCGCAACCCUUCUCUUCAGUUGCCAUCAGGUAGAGCUGGGCACUCUGGCGAUACUGCCACCGUAAGGUGUGAGGAAGGUGGGGAUGACGUCAAAUCAGCACGGCCCUUACGUCCGGGGCUACACACGUGUUACAAUGGGGAGUACAGAGAGUCAACCGCCGGCAACGUCGGUUUAAUCAAGAAAGCUCUCCUCAGUUCGGAUUGGGGUCUGCAACCCGACC